UACGGAGGGUGCAAACGUUGCUCGGAAUCAUUGGGCGUAAAGCGCACGUAGGUGGCUUGUUAAGUCGGGUGUGAAAUCCCUGGGCUCAACCCAGGAAGUGCACUCGAAACUGGCGAGCUUGAGUACUGAAGAGGGUCGCGGAAUUCCCGGUGUAGAGGUGAAAUUCGUAGAUAUCGGGAGGAACACCAGUGGCGAAGGCGGCGACCUGGGCAGAUACUGACACUGAGGUGCGAAAAGCGUGGGGGAGCAAACAGG
rnacentral:rRNA from 1 species